CACGUAGUUAGCCGGUGCUUCUUCUCCAGGUACCGUUACAAAAACGCUUCGUCCCUGGCGAAAGGAGUUUACAACCCGAAGGCCGUCAUCCCCCACGCGGCGUCGCUGCAUCAGGCUUGCGCCCAUUGUGCAAUAUUCCCCACUGCUGCCUCCCGUAGGAGUCUGGGCCGUAUCUCAGUCCCAAUGUGGCCGACCAACCUCUCAGUCCGGCUAUCCGUCGCCGCCUUGGUAGGCCAUUACCCCACAACAAGCUGAUAGGCCGCGGGCUCAUCCUACACCGAAAAAACUUUCCACCACACACACUAAAGCAUGGUCCUAUCCGGUAUUAGACCCAGUUUCCCAGGCUUAAUCCCAGAGUGCAGGGCAGAUCACCACGUGUUACUCACCCGUUCGCCACUCGAGUACCUCCGAAGAGGUCCUUUCCGUUCGACUUGCAUCGUGUUAAGCACGCCGCCAGCGUCGUCCUGAGCAGGAUCGUAAACU
rnacentral:rRNA from 1 species